rnacentral:lncRNA from 10 species
AGGGAAGCUCUACGUCUUGGGGGCCGCAUGGUGCCGAGAGCGCAGACCAGACCCGCCCCGCCUCUCCGUGCCACGCACGCGCUCGGCUCCGCGCUUAAUGAAGCAGUAUCUGACUGUGUUGCCCAGGCUGGUCUUGAACUCCUGGUCUCAAAUGAUUCUCCUGCUUUGGCCUCCUAAAGUGCUGGGAUUACAGCAACGCGAAUGAAAUUUGGUGCCAUCACUCGGAUCAGGGGACCUCCCUUGGGAGAUCAAUCCCCUGUCCUCCUGCUCUUUGCUCCAUGAGAAAGAUCCACCUACGAUCUCUGCUCCUCAGACCAACCAGCCCAAGGAACAUCUCACCAAUUUUAAAUCGGAUCUUCUCAGCUUAGCGGCUGAAGACUGAUGCUGCCAGAUGACUUUGGAAGCCCCCUGGACCAUCACAGAUGCCCAGCUUUGGAUAACUCUUACAGUGGAGGACAGGAAUAUCAGGUCUCUGAGCCCAAGCUAAGCCAUCAUAUCCCCUGUGACCUGCAUGUAUGCAUCCAGAUGGCCUGAAGUAACUGAAGAAUCACAAAAGAAGUGAAAAUGGCGCGUGCCUGCCUUAACUGAUGACAUUACCUUGUGAAAUUCCUUCUCCUGGCUCAUCCUGGCUCAAAAGCUCCCCCACUGAGCACCUUGUGACCCCCACUCCUGCCUAACAGAGAACAAUCCCCUUUGACUGUAAU